rnacentral:SRP_RNA from 1 species
CUGGGUGGUUAACGACACCUGUAAUCCGAGUGGAGGCAGGGUGUUCGAAGGGCUUGGGUUCGCGAACGGACCUCAGUCGCAUACCGAUCAUGGCUCCGCUUCAAGCCAGUGGUCCGCAGCGGGUUCUUCCGGAGGGGAGAAGUCGUGGUGGAUAGUGAGACGGGAAUCGCAUCAGGCGGGAAACCGAGCAGUGCAAACCGUCCGCCGCUGGCAGUGAAGGGAUAGGCUGUGUGAGUGCU